rnacentral:piRNA from 1 species
UCCUCAGGGCAAAUGGGUGACCUCAGGUUC